rnacentral:rRNA from 1 species
UACGUAGGGGGCAAGCGUUGUCCGGAAUCAUUGGGCGUAAAGAGCGUGUAGGCGGCCCGGUAAGUCCGCUGUGAAAGUCCAGGGCUCAACCCUGGGAUGCCGGUGGAUACUGUCGGGCUCGAGUCCGGAAGAGGAGUGUGGAAUUCCUGGUGUAGCGGUGAAAUGCGCAGAUAUCAGGAGGAACACCAAUGGCGAAGGCAGCACUCUGGGACGUGGCUGACGGCUGAGACACGAAAGCGUGGGUAGCAAACAGG